GCCAGGCGUGGUAGUGGGCGCCUGUAGUCCCAGCUACUCGGGAGGCUGAGGCAGGAGAAUCGCUCGAACCCGGGAGACCAGAGGUUGCAGUGAGCCGAGAUCAUGUCACUGCACUCCAGCCUGGGUGACAGAGUGAGACUCGGUCUCCA
rnacentral:SRP_RNA from 1 species